rnacentral:rRNA from 1 species
CGACUUAGAGUUUGAUCCUGGCUCAGGACGAACGCUGGCGGCMUKYUUAACACAUGCAAGUCGAACGAUGACGACCGUGCUUGAACGGUCUGAUUAGUGGCGAACGGGUGAGUAACACGUGAGUAACCUGCCCUCCACUUCGGGAUAACCUCGGGAAAUCGUGGCUAAUACCGGAUAUGAAUCCUUGUCGCAUGGCGGGGGUUGGAAAGAUUUAUCGGUGGGGGAUGGACUCGCGGCCUAUCAGUUUGUUGGUGAGGUAAUGGCUCACCAAGACGAUGACGGGUAGCCGGCCUGAGAGGGCGACCGGCCACACUGGGACUGAGACACGGCCCAGACUCCUACGGGAGGCAGCAGUGGGGAAUAUUGCACAAUGGGCGAAAGCCUGAUGCAGCGACGCCGCGUGAGGGAUGACGGCCUUCGGGUUGUAAACCUCUUUCAGCAGGGAAGAAGCGAAAGUGACGGUACCUGCAGAAGAAGCGCCGGCUAACUACGUGCCAGCAGCCGCGGUAAUAC